UAUUGAUAUUUCCAUUGUCUAAAUUACAUAUAUUAUUUCUUCCUCCUUACAACUAGCAAGCCAUUAGGAUAGGAAGAAUAAUCACGACGUACGCUCCUUUGGAUGAACCAUCCUGAUCAAAGGAUAAUCACAACAGAAAGGCAGGAGUAUUUCUCUCUCUGUUUUCGAUUUCUUUCCUAAAAGCUAUUUUUCUUAUUUUCUUGUCUAGUUUUGGAAAAUGAAGUUUCUUGAGCCUGCCUGAUUAGGUUUCCAUCCUUUGGAUGAACCAUCCUGAUCUAUGAAUCCAGACCUGCUUUUUCCUUUUCCUUUUAUUUUUUUAUUGGCUGUUAGCAUAUAUAAUUCAUGUCUUGGUUGACUAGUUUCUUUUGGUAAGUGGGAUCAUAGAGCACUAUGUACAUCCCUCAGAAAGUUUAUGCCAUCUUUGGUUUUGAACGAGAGAAUUAACCUUUUUAGACAAUUCUUUUCAGCUUUGUUUGAAUUAAUAAAAUUGAAUAACUGGCUUGGAAUUUCUAGAUAAGUGACUUUUGAGAGGUAGUAUAUUUGAAACAUAUCUCUUACAUGGUUGGGGACUGUCCAUUUUAGUGUUUACUCUUCAGCAUCAAUGUGAGAAGCUAUCGAGAUUUAUAUACCUUAUAAGAAAGUGGAAUUCAUCCUUUCCACUCCAAGAAAUAAUUCAUAAAUUUCGAAUUCCUAAAAAUUAUACAUAUAUACAUAAUUCAACUCUAAUAAAAAAGAAAAAUCCAAAUACCACCGUUGAAUCCACCAACCAAAAUCAAACCCAAAUUGGAGUUGGACUGAGAGAAAGAGGCUUUGUCAUGUUGAGAGCAAAAAAGACGUUUCGAUAGUGAGAGGAGAAGAAAGGGAGAGAAAGGGGACUGAGAGAAAGAAAAGAGAGGGAUGAAACGAAGAGGAAGGUGGGGGAAGAAGAAAAGAUAAGAAAUGGUAGGUCAAACCAAAACAACUUAAACCACUAAAAUUGUUAAUUAAAAAUUGAUAAAUAAAUGUGAUUAUAUAUUUUCGAAUUAAUUAUCAAAUAACAUUAUUAUUAUUAUUAUUAUAGUUGGUUUUGUUAUUUUUUAAAUAUAAUAACGUCUAAUAUAAUUUAUCAUUAUUGGUCUCAAUCUGGCGAAGUCAUGGAUGCCGUUGUGGUUGAAAUUUUGAUACCAUAUAGACUUUUUGUGAACUUUCUGAUUGUCAUGGCAUAAACCAAGAAUUGUUUUCCUUCAUUUUGCAUACAGAUUAUUGUUUCCUUAUCUGUUUUAAAUUGUGUUGAAGUGAUGUUCUAGUAUAAUAUUUUUUUUCAUCUUUUAAAAUUUCAAAAUCGAUCAUACAAUCAAUCGUUCGAUUUUGCUGACUUUUGUAAGUUUUCACUCGAUACACCAAAAUUAUUUGUCUACAUAUGUGAUAUAAUAGUUUUCCCAUUUUUUUUUUUUUUUUGCAGUGGACCAAUAAUUGAUUGCUUCCAUUUUCUUGCAAACUCUUUUCUCGUUUUCUAUAUCAAAAUCAUCGGUGCUACAGUUGUCUUUCUUUUCGUUUAAAAUUUACGUCUAGAUGAUGUUUAAUAAUAUAUUAAUUGUUUCAUCUUUUAUAAUUUCAAUAAUGAUCGCACAAGCAAUCGUUCGAUUUUGGUGAGCUUUUGUGAAUUUUCACUCGAUAACCAAAAUUAUUUGUCUUGAUGCGACGAUGUUAGUUUUUCUUUUUUGCAAUAAACCAAGAAUUGUUUUUUUUUCCAAUUUUCUUUCCAACUCUUUUUUUUUUUUAUACGUCAAAGUCAUCGAGCUACAUAUGAUUGUUACCCUUUUUAUUUUAAGAUUCUGUGGAGGUGAUGUUUAUUUAAUUUUUUUAAUCUUUUAAAAUUUCAAUAUUGGUCUUACGAGGAAUCGUUCGAUUGUGGUAAACUUCCGUGAAUAUUCAUCGGUAGACCAAAAUUGUUUGUCCAAAUGCGAUGAUGUUAUAUUUUUGUCAUCCUCAAUCUCACCUGUUAAUUCCGCACAAUUUCGACAGACUUUCGUAAGUACUGUUACCGUAAACCAACAGUGGAAAGUGCAUAUCUAGUUUUCAUAUAUUUCUAUGUUUCCUUUGUUAUAAUGUGAUCAUGUCAUAUUAAUUAGAAAAAAGAAUUUGAAAGGAAUUUAGGGAAAAAAUUUUUUGCCACACAACUUACCUGAAUAUAUCACCUUAUCAAAGUACAAUGACGAUAAAUUUAAAGCUUAACUUAAUUGAUUCAUUAGUUAAUUUUAAGAAAUGAUAAAAGUUUAAAAUUUAAAUUUUAAUAUAUAUAAUUUGUUUUUUUUAAUAUACAAAUAUGACUUUUUUUAUCGAAAAAGAAAGUAUAGUGACAAUGUAGAAUGUCACUUGAAAGGGUUAAUUACUUUUAUCAUUGAGUGGCAAAAAAAAAAUUAUUGAUCAUGAAAUAUUUUUAUAAAAAGAACAAAUCUGGAAAAAUUAAGUGAAAACAAGGUAAUUUACUCUAAAACAGACAAGACAAUUUACUCUAAAAAAGAAGGGGAAUAGAGCCAAUUUUUGAAAAUUUCAAUUAAAUUUGAUUUUUCUACUUUUGGCCUACCCACUUUAUUACAAUAUUUGUAACUCUCUUUUGCAAUAUGAUGAUGAUUUUUGUAAUAUUAAUUGUUUAAGAAUUUACAUUUUACUAUUUUUAAAAAUUUAUAUUUGAUAAUAUUACAUUAUUAUUAAUAUUAUCAAUGAAUAAAGGGGUUGGCAAUUCGGAGUGUUCAUAGAUCACAUGAACCACAAUUUGUCACCUCAUCAUUCGAAAUAUUUUUAAAAUGUUUAUUAUUUUAUGAUUCAUGAUUUACUUAAAUGUAUAUAUUUAUAUCCUAAAAAUGUAUCAAAUAUAAAUGCACUUUUAAAAUAUGAUUUUCAUCAUGAAAAAAUGUCGUUGGUGAAAUGUUUAUAAUUAUUUAAGGGUUUAAUAAGAGUAGCUUCUCCGCUUACUGUAAAUUCAUUUUAAUAGAAGUUCAUUAUAAAAUAUAGAUCAUACAUUGUUUGAUCAAGCCAUUGCCAAGUUUAGGUGAAGCCAUUUUCAAUCAAACAUUGUUUGAUUGAGUUAAACUUAGGUCGAGUUUCAGUCGUUUACAUAAUUAACUCAAGUUAAGCCAAGCUCAUUAAAGUCGAGCACUAGCAACUUGCUAAGCUUUUUUGCUUACUUUUCUCAUCUUUCUAUACAUUGUAAGUCUUCAAAGUUUUACUUAUUUUAUUUACAUUCAAACUUCUUUUAGUUGUUACUAUUAAAUAGCUAUUAGAAAUAAUUGAAAAUAUUCUAAUUUCAAAAAGAUAGUUAUUUACAUAAGCAAUGCAUUUUCCAUUUAUUCAAAAUAAAAAAAAGCAUAAGGUUUAAUUAAAUUGUUACCAUUGAUGAGAUUUGAGAUUUAAAUAAAAUAACCAAAAGUAAAUGAGCUUUUGAUUCAACGAUUAGUGCAUGUAUUUCACUACUAAUUCAUUAGUCAGGUUUUUUUUUAAAAAAAAUUUCUCUUUAUUUCAGAAAAGGUUUUUGGACACUAUUUAAAUCUUCAUUAUCAAAAUUUUCUAAAUUCAACCUCAUUUUAGUUUCAAUUUAGUACCAAUUAAAAUGCAAAAAAAAAAAAAAUUUGGAAACUUUUAAUGAAGUAAUUUAUAUAUAAAAUUUUAAUUCACUAAAAACAUUUAAAGUAAUUUUAAAUCAAACUUGAAAAUAGUUAACAUUAAAAAUUAACCAAUGAAAACUUUUAUGCAAUGGAAGGAGUGAAAAAAGAAACAAUCGGAAGUCCCAAGGAUGGGAAUAAAUUAAACAUCAUUUCAAAGGCUAAGGUAAAUGAACCUUGGAAGCCCACGCGAUCUGACUCUAUAUAUACAUGAACUCGAGCCCAAAAACGCGGCAACAACAAAACAAGCUCUAGGAAUGAAUAUUGGUCCACCAAACAUGCAAGCAGCAUGCUAUUAGGAAGACGAGGCAAUCUGCACCGGUAAUUAUUGCAAAAAAUCAAAAGGUAUUAUUGUUUCAUCCUUCUAAUAAUAUUUUAUAUUCUCUUUAAUCUUAUUGUUUUGAUUUGUUUUCUAUUACUGUUGUUGGCCUAUUUCCAUGGAUCAUAAUCCUUGACAAUAUCGUUUAGGGUUUUUCCCAGCAAAGGAUGCAAUUGAGGAUGAUUGAAGAAAGCGGCAAAGAAGGGAAAAGGUAAUUUGUCGGAGACAGAUUGAAGUUCUUUUGCUACGAAAACCUGAAUAUCACAAAGUCCGGCCAUGCUUAGCGGCUAUUAAUGUUAAUUCGGAAUAAAAACUUGAAUGAAGAAAAACCCAACAAUGCAAAUAGCUUAUCAGUUCAUUUGCAUUAGAAAGAAGAAAAAAAGAAAACACUGAUGGCUUAAUUUCCAGCCUGAGAGAGGUAAUCUCUCUUCGAUAGGUCUCAAAGUCAAAAGGAUAUUGAGGCAACUAGGUUAAAAGAAAAACGAAGGAAAAAGGCGAGUGGGUGGAAGCCUUCAUAGCCGCCCAGCAGUCAAUAGCUUCUCUACAAAACCAGAUGAGUAAUUAAAGAAAUAGAGAAAAAAAAGCAUCGUACAAUUUAAAAGAACUACUAUAUGAAUUAUGAGUUCAAGCCAAUAUUUUUACUAUUUUCCUCUUUGGAAAUAUUUUUUUCAAAGAUUUUAAAUUUUAACGGUACAUUUGCAAUGAACUUUAUUAUUGGUUUAACUUAUUUUUUGCAAGGGGGAAGAGUGCUUUUGAAUUGUAUGUUAAAUGUCCAAUUUUUACUUAGGCUAAAUUUGGAUUCCAUGGCAUCGGGGUGCGAUGGAAUUUAGGCCUUUUAUUGGGGUCAACUGCAUCAUGAAGUGUAGUUAGAUAGUACCCUAUAGUCCUGUUGAGCAAGUUAAUGGAAAUGGAAUGAAGGGAUCUAGAUGAUAUUGUUAACAGUUAAUGUUCGAUAGUUAUCAUAUAUUAUGGUUCUAUGUUUUAUGAUGGUGUGGUUGAUUCUAUUAUCAACUGAUCAUUACUUAUUAUCUAUCUCUAAAUUUAUAAGUAUAUAUCUUUUUCUUACUUUCUAUGAUAAGUUAUUUAUAUUUUCCUUCAAUACUUAAAGUGUGGUGGGUUUUUUCAUGGUUGAUUAUAUUUUAAAAUUUUGUUUAUAUCUUAGUCGCUCUUGACCAAUCUUGAUAGUUGGAAGAAUGCUUUUCCUUGAUUUAUAUUUAAGUGAUUUUUUAUGCUUAAAUGGAUUUGUACAGGUAUUUUGAUUUUUAUGUUUGCUAGCUAGUCUUAACAAGCUUUGUAACCUUAUGGUUCCUUUAAAAAAUUUUGCCCUAAAAAAAAAAAAACAGUGCUCCUCCAAUUAAAGACUGGACCCUAAGACAAUCGAUUAACUUGCUUCGAGUAAUAGAUUGUAUUAGUAUGAUAUUGAAAUAAAACACAUGCUUUAAUUAUAACAGUCGACUCGCUUUAGUGAUCAGGCAGGGAAACUCUACAUAAAAUCUAAUUGGAUAAAAGAUUGUUUUCUUUUUUUUUUGUUGAUAAAUGUUUGAUUUUUAUGAAAAACAUUUUGAGAAUAAAAUUCUGUAUGCAUUAAAUUAACGUGUGGAAGUGUAUUUUUAAAAUCGUUUAGGGAUUAAAUUAAGUUUAGAUAAAACUUAAGAAUACCUCUAAUAGUGUAAUUAAAAAGAAACAUAUGAAAAAAAAAAAGAAAUUAAGUGAGAAGAUGGAAAGAAAUUUGAUUUUAGUAGAAUUAAUUUAAUUAUUAUUAAAAAAAUUUUUUGAUUAAGCAGCGAGGAAUUAUGGUCUUUGCUUAGCACAUUCCCUUCUUGAAUGAUCUAAGUGGGCUUACUUACGCUAAAUCUAAUGAAUUUGUGAGAAAUUAUCUUAUCAUAUUAUAUGUUAUAUAUUAAAAUUAUAUAUUAAAGGAUAGGUUUAAAUUUAAAAAAACUAAUAACUUGGGUUGGUGAUAAUUUAUAAUAGUUUGGAUUUGUGAUAAUUUGUGAAGUACAUGUGCUUGUGAGAGGAGGAUAAAGUUACAACAAGCUUUAGCAUUUUUAUUUUUAAUAUAUAUUAGAAGUUAGUUUUUUUAUAGUUGAAAUAAAAUGAAUUGUAUUUAUAUUUGUUUUAUUAAUUCUUUCUUGAUUUACUUCAUUAUGAAAAAUGAAAUUCUCAAUUAUUUUUUUGUUGAUUCAUGAAAAAGAUGUGUGUAUUGAUUCUUGAAAUAUUAAUGAUACAUAGAAAAGAAGUGAUUGGUUUACAUAGUAUAAAAUAUUUUUAAUUUUAUAUUUUUUUAAUUAUAGAUUUUAAUAUAUCUAAGGGAUGAAAUUAAACUAUUUUUUUAUUUUUACUUUGUCUCUCGUCCUUAAAUCUAUUAAAAUUAAAGAUUAAAAAAUAUGUAAAAUUAAAAAAAUUAUAAUGCAUAAGUUAAUCCCUCAUAAAAAUAUUUAUAUAUAUCUUUUCAAUAAAAAUUUAUAAAAACAUAUAAUUUACAGAUUAAUGGAAUAUUUUUUAUUUAAUAUUUGCCAUUUUUUUUAAUGAUUCUAAUAUUUUAUUUUGAUAACUUAUUUUGUAAGAAUUAAUAUUUAUUUGUUGAGUUGAAAUUCAUUUUUCUUUUUUUUUAUAAUUUUUUCUAUUUAAUUUUUUAUUGUGUUUGUUCUUUUGGUUAGAUAUUUCAUUUUUUUCAGUUAAUGAAUAAUAUAAUAAUACAUUCAGAAUUAAGAUUCGACUCUAAAUUUUUAAAUCAAAGUCUUAUCUUAGUCAGGUCGGGUCUAUAGGCUUCGACAAGCGAUCCAGCCCUGUAGAAAUCCUUUUUUACUAAAUUAUAUCUAUAUUUAUGAAAUAUAUAUAUAUAAAUAUAUAUAAACUUAAAACCAUUUAAAACUGUGCACAAUCAAUUGAGUACUUGAAUCUUACUCAAAAUUGACAAUAAAUGAGUUGGGUUUAAGUAAUUAAUAGUUAAUGAAUUGAGUUCAGAGUAUUGGGAAAAAUUUAAAAAUUAAAAUAAUUUAUGCUGAAAUAACAUGUUAUAAUAUAUAUACAUAUAUACACUUCAAAUUUUUAGUUAUUUCAGUUCAAUUUCAAAUGAUUCUAGUCCCUUGACUUUGAGUAAGCAGUGUGUGUGUGUUAAACAAUAAAUACUUCUUAUAUCUUCUCAAUAAAAAGUGUAACAAUAAUAUAUUUUGUUAUUAUAUUUGAAAACAGGAUAAAGUAAGUUACAUAACUCUUGGAAGCAGAUUUGAAAUCACCCCAAUCACACUAAAUUUCUACUAACUCACAAGAGAGUAAUUAAAAAUAAAUAGAAAUUAUUAAACCAAAUUUCCUUUUAAAUUCUACUAUAUAUAUAUUUGAAUAUCUGACACUCCAUUAAUCUACCUGCAGGUCAUACGAGAAACUUGGCAAGAAAAAAUCCUUGUCCUUGCUCGGUUUCAUGACAAGUUUCGGUGAGUAUGCAAAGUUUCCCUCUAAAAAAAAAAAAAAAAAAAAAAAAAAAAAAAAAGACAAAACAAAAGGUUCCCAUUAUUAUGCUUGAAAAACCCUUUUCUUAUGUGAAUAUAUAUAUUUUUUUAUUUUUAAUAAUUAAAAUUAUAAUUAAGUGUUGUAAUGAAGUAAAUAUCGAUCGAGAUAGUAUGAAAUAAUUUGAGAAGUGCAUGUAUUACAAUAUUUGAGGUUAAAGUUUGAAUUUAAACUUUAAAAUAUUUAACUGACAAAAAGUUAAUUGAUAAGUAAUUAUGACAUUUUUUUGUGUCUUAUCCAAGGACGGAUUUGCAAAAGCUCCCUUUUGCUAAUAGAAGUUUUUUGCACAUUACUUGUUUAUCCUUUUUUGGCCUCCUUAAUUUUAUAAAGAAGAAAAGUGUACAAUUAAAGCCAAGUGACCAAGUCGUGAUUCGAAUAUAUUUUGCUUAGUAAGGGAAUCAACAAAAUAGUUUGCUUUUCUAAAUAUAUGAAGAAAGGAUAUUUUUUCAAAUUCAGCUUUGAGAUGAAGAAGACGAUUGAUGAUGGCAAUUUUAGCAUUCAACUUUUAUAAACUAUAUUUUUUUAAUUCAUUUAUUCUCAUUAUAUAUAUAUAUAUAUAUAUACACACACUGUAAUAUUCAACAAAAAAGAAAAAUUUAUCUACAUAUAUUUUAUAAUAUAUAGAUAGAUAAUUUACAAUGUUAACAUCAAAAGGGUAAAACUCUAACUAUUUAAUAAUGUAAUUAUUAAACUUUUAAAUUGUGUAUUUUCUAUAAAGGAAUUAGGUAAUAAAUUGGAAGUUUAAAUAUAUAGUAGGCAUCUAGCUAUAAAGAAUUAAAAUCAUAAAGUCUAUGUUCAGAAAAACAUUAUAUAAUUUUGUGUUAAUUUUUCUUAGCUCAUAUAUAUAUAUAUAUAUAAUGUAUUGGCCCCCUCACAUUAAACAUGUGAACUUGAAAGGCAGGUAAGUGGUAGCUUGAAAUUGGAAAUAGAAUAUUCUAUUUAUAUUAAGGAAUAUUCUUCUAAAAAUUUUAAUUAUUUCUUUAAUUUUUAUUGAGCAAAAAAGUACUUUACUUCAUACACCUUGUUUCAUGUCUUUGUUUUCUGUCUUGGCUUCCCCUCUGUAUCAGUUUCUCUUUGUUAGGUUGCUUUCCUUUCAACAUGAAAUCCUUUUUUUUUUUUAUAAACUAGGAAAACAUAUUGUUUCCAUUUUCAAUUGUUCUAUUUUUUUUUUUUACCAACCUUGUUUACUUUCUUCAAGGUCCUAACCUUUUGUACGAAUCCAUUCCUUAUUUUUGCACUCAAGUUGGUGCUUAUUUGUUGUUCUUUUUUUUUCCCCCAAAUUUGCAGCAUGUUUUAAUCUUUUUCUUCUUUUAGUCCAUGUUUUAGGUGACUCUUAACCUUACUAAGCCUCAUUAUCGCGAUUAGAUUUAUUGAAAUUGGAAUCUUGAAUUCUAUGUGUCAUAGAUUUAAUUUUAACAUCAAAAUAUAAAAUUAUUAUAAUUUUUUUCAUAAAUGUAAAAUAUAUAGUAAAAAAUAAUGGCAUUCUGGGUUUUUUUAGAAAGAAUCUAAUUAUUUUUAUUUUGUAUUUAAUUAUUGAUAUUAUCUUUCAAUAGAAUUUGAAAUAAAGUCUUCACUCUAGCUAUUCUUUCUUCUGUCUCACUUAAAAGGAAAAGGGAAAAGCAGCAGAUCAGUUGUUCGAAAAAAACUGUACAAAUCAAGCAUCCAGGUAUAUAUGGUGUGAUUAAUUAUUGAUAAUAUAUUUUUAUAAAAUAAGAUGUUUAUUUUAUGGUUUGGAACAUUCUUUUUGUCUGCCCAAGCAGAAAGCAAAAGAAAUUCUUCAGGUUAAGAUGAUGAAAAAUGGAUUGGCAAAUAAGAUACACGAGAAAAGGGUCAUGGCUGAGUCACUUAAGGCAACCAUAAAAGAUGCAGCAGAAACUGAAACAGAAUAUAGGUUGCUGAAAAUGAGAAGGAAUGAGCUGAUUAGUGGAAUCAAAGGCAUUGUGAGAAUGCGGGCAACGGAGAUGUUGCUGAUGGAGGAGCUCGAUUUGCUUUGAAGCAAAGAUAAACAACCCUAUUCGAGAGUUUGAUAAAUAAAAAAAACUUACUACGCUUUUCCAGGAUUGAUGGAGAUUCGAGUAGGGCUUUAAAAAAAACAUACUAUAUAUAUGUUUGAUGUGAUUGCUUGCUUUGUCUCAGUUUGCUUUUGCCCUUUGUCUGAAAAACCGUUUGGUGGAAUGGCACUAUAAAUAAAACCUCUUUGUUUCGGCAUGUUUAACUUUAAAGAUUGUCCAGUGCUCAUAUACUCUGGGUUGGGCCUUAGUAAUGCAAAUCCAAAAAAUUUUGGAGCAUUGGCUUGGCCGAGGAAGUUCUCUCUCUUCAGCAUACUUAGUAAGAAAAAUUCGGAGGAAUUUGACCCAAAUUCAAGAGUAUUUAACAUAGUAUUAUUUUCAAAUAAUAAGAAAAGUUUUUGAGGAUCUUUUCGGAUUGGGGCUUGAGCUUACAUUUGAUCAUUUAAUGAACAAGUUUAUAUUUGUUUCUAACUUUUUUACAAAAGAAUUCAAAAUUUAAAAAAUAAAAAAUGCUAAUAUUUAAAUUUUAAAUUUAUUAAAUGUUAUUUUUUAAUAAUGAUAUAUCCGAAUAUAGUUAUGGAUGGAUGUGAAGCCGUGCCAAUGCUUAGCUGGGGUGGAUGCGCAGCUGAUUAUCUAUGGACCAUAAAAAAGAAGCAAAAAUAAAGUGUGAUUGCUCCGUGUAUGGUGUUCAAAUAUGUGUGGUAAAAACCAAUGAAAUAUGAAUAUAAAUUUGCUAAGGGUUUUACUGUUGUUGUGUCAUGCGUGCAAGAGGGAUUGAAAUAUAGAUAUAGUUUUACUUUAACAAUAACAGCAAGUUGUUGUUUGUAGGGAAUUGGGAUUCAAUUGAGAUGCUCAAUAGAAUAGAAUUGAAAUGUGAACAAGUUGGAGAUGUACAAAUUUGGUUCUUUCUGUGUUCAUUGAUAUUGUGAGAGGCUACAAAAUUCAUGAUGUUUGUUUCUUUUGCUACUUCAAUAACUGCAUUAUGAUGUUCUGUGGUUUGAAAAACUUAUGAGAGAUUAACUGAUUGUAAUGAGUAAUUAAAGGAUUAGCUUAGCAAAAGUAUUAAAUUUGUUUUUAUUCCUUCUAGGCAUAUUGUUCUAAACAAGAGUAUUAUUUAAAACAAAACUUUGGGCAACAAGCUCAAUGCAAUUUAUUGCAAAAUUACAUGUGGCUGAACUCAAUCCCAAGUCCCAAACCAACUCCUAUAAAACCUGUUACUAGCUUGAACAAGAAAAUGAUACACAAAUAUGAAAUUGACUUGAGUGAUUUGAAAUUUCAAAUGGUGUCAAACGUUAAAUUAAAGAGUGUUUUUGACAACAACAAAAUAAAUUAAGAACAUUUCAAAUAUUGCUAACUAUUUUUAUAAAAAAUAAUUCCCAAAUAAAUCCUUGAAUUAUAUUAAAAAAUGAAAACAAAGCUUUUGAUUUUUUAUUUAUAAAAUUAAGAUUGUAAAUUUUUAUUUUAUCGUAAUUAUCCUAUUAAAUCUUGAAAAUUAAUUAACAAAAUCAAAUUACCAUAAUUUUAAAAUAAUAUUCUCUCCAAUAUUUGUCACUUAAGUUCAUUUAAAUAAAUUAAAUAAGCAUUUUUUUUUAUAAAUUACAUCAACUGUCUGAACGUUUAGAUUCGUAGACGUAUCGUUAGACAUUGAUUUAAGGAGUCACCAUCAAUAUUUUUUAUUUAGGUACGAUUGGACACCUAACUGAAAUCUAUCUUUUUUUUUAAAAGAAAUCCUAUGUUUGACUUAGGAAUCCUUAAAAGGUAGAUUCAAUAUUUGUGAAACCAGAACCAGGUCCGAAAAUACAGUUACGUGUGAGAAAUGUUAUAACACCCGCACAAUGCCUAUCGAAAGAUGGUGCUAGCUAGAUUUCGCGUUAUCCAUUAAGCCUUAAAAAUUUUACCAAAUAAUUAAUUAUUGAAAAUUAUUCUUAAUUGAUUCAAUUUUUUUUUUUGCAGAAAAUAAAGAAAAUUUUUUCAUUUCAAGAGUAUACAAGAAAAUUACUAUUUCUUUUGUAGAGGCUCCUUUGUCGGAUUAUUUAACAUUAAAAAAUUUUCAAAAAAUGGAAAGAAAAAAAAGAAUAAUGCUUCAAUCUUUGACUGGGAUCUCUUUCAUUAUUUUGUUUUAUUUUAUUUAAAAAAUUCAUGCCUUUAUACAAAAAAAAAUUGAUAUUUUCAACUUUUCUUAAAACAUUUUGAAAUUUUUAUUUUUAAGAAAAAUUGAUACUUUCAACUAUUCCUUAAAAAUAACUUUUAAAAAAUUUUUAAUUUCAAGGAAAAUUGAUACUUUCAACUUUUUCUCAAAAAUAUUUUUUUGAAAUUUUCAUUUUUAAGGAAAAUUGAUACAAAAAAUUAAUACUUUCAACUUUUCUAAAAAAUACCCUAUUUGAAAAUUUUUUUCAAGGAAAAUGAAUACUUUCAAUUUUUUCUCAAAAAUACCUUUUUUUGAAAAUUUUAUUUUCAAGAAAAAUUGAUACUUUCAACUUUUUCCUCGAAAAUACCUUUUUUUGAAUUUUUAUUUUUCAAAAAAAUUGAUACUUUAACUUUUUCCUAAAAAUGUUUCUUGUGGAAUAUAUAUUUUUUUAAAAAUUUAUUUUCUAAAAAAAUUUAUACUUUUAACUUUUCUUUAAAAUCUCUUUUUUAUUAUUGAAGUUUUUUAAGAAAAUUGAUACUUUAACUUUUUCUCAAAAAUUUUUUUGAAAAUUUUUAUUUUUAAGAAAAAUUGAUUCUUUAACUUUUUUUGAAAGUUUAAAAUUAUUUUUAUUUCUAUUAUUUUUUUAGAACAAAGAUUUAUGAAAAAUAAUUAAGUAAAUAAACAAACUAAUACAAGAAAAUACCAAACAAGUCUUAGGCUCGACUUAGCGAAAAAAGCUUAGCUACAAGAGUGAAUUAGGCUCAGUGACUCUUUUUUUGCUUUUUCCUUUCUUCAACCUUAAAAUUCUAGUUUAGAAUCCUGCACUUUUAAAAUUUCAAUCAAGAAUCCUACACCAGAAACUUGCUCUUUGAUCAUCGUCGCUCUGUUAAUGUGAGUCACAAUAAAAUCUUGCACUUGAAACCCUACUCUAUGAUUCUGUUGUUAUACUGACAUGAGUCACAACCACUAUUGCCUUCCUUGCUGCUGCUUAUUAUGAUUGAUCUUAGGUUGAUGGUGGGUUGUCUAUUGGGUUUCAAGUAUUCUAGGUUUUGCGUGAUUGGUUUUUGGUAAUAGGUAUUUGGGCUUCCGGUUACGUCAAUUUUAGUGAUAGUAGGAUUAGGCAAUUUGGUGGGUUGUAAGAUUAAGUAAUUUGGUGAUAAUGGAUUUUUGGCUAGUGGUUUUCUUUCUCUUUGUGUUUUUUGUUAAAUUUUUUUCUGUGAUUUUCUCUUUGCUUGAAUGUGUUGUGUUGAUUAUGAAAAAGGUAGGUUAUGAACUGGGGCUGUUAAAGGUUGUGUUGGGAAUAAUAACCAUGCACGAUGAAAGGCUUAGUGGCCAUGGCUAGAGGAUGAACUUUGUAUUUUUCACUCUGAUUCCUUGGGUUUUACUUUGUAUUUUCACUCUGUGUCUUUUGCUCUGUCAAACCAAGGUUUAAAUAACAUGAUGAAGAUUGAAUUUUAAUUCAAAAAAAUUGAGCAUUUUAUCCCCUAUGAUCUGAAUUUUGAGUUUAAAAAAGGAUAUCCAAAAUUUAAAAAUUUAACCUAAUACUUCAAAUUUCAAACACAGAGUCAUAUCACUUGAUUUAUCCAUUUUUUAUUCUUUUUACUCAUUUUGAAAAUAAUGGUAAAAAUAAAUAAAUAAAAUAAUAAAACAAAUUGAUUAGGUCCAAUGCCCAAUAACCUGAGAUGAAAUAGAGUGUCUGCAGUUGUCCCUCUUUUUGUAGUUUCUGUGAAAUAGGAAUUACGCAAAAAUGUAAACAUCCAUCAUGACCUUAUUCAAGAAAGAAAACACUUUGGUGUGAUUGAAUUAAGCUUGAAAAUGGGAUGACCUGAAGAUAGAUAUAGCAUAGACCAAAAUCAAAACAAAAUGACCUGGAUGGAACCAAAAUCUAAAAUAAAUAACUUGAACUGAACAAAAAAAAAGAUAUGGUAUAGACCAAAAUCCAAAACAAAAUGACCUAAGAAGGAUCUGGCAUAAGCCGAAAUCCAAAACAAAAUGACUUGGAUGGAACCAAAGUCUGAAAUAAUUAACUUGGACUGAAUCAAAGGAGGAUCUAGCAUAGGCUAAAAUCCAAAACAAAAUAACUUGGAUGGAACCGUAGUCUAAAAUAAUUAACUUGGAUUUAAUCGAAGGAGGAUCUAACAUAUGUCAAAAUUCAAAACAAAAUGAUCUGGAUGGAGUCGAAGUCUGAAAUGAUUAACUUGGAUUGAAUCGAAGGAGGAUCUAGCAUAAGUUGAAAUCCAAAACAAAAAUAACCUGGAUGCAAUCGAAGUCUAAAAUAAGUAACUUAGAUUGAAUCGAAGGAGGAUCUAGCAUAAGCUAAAAUCCAAAAUAAAAAUGAUAUGAUGGAACCGAAGUCUAAAAUAAGUAACUUGGAUUGAACCGAAGAAAGGAUCUGGCAUAAGCUAAAAUUCAAAACAAAAUGACAUGGAUGAAACCCAAGUUUGAAUUCACUUAGACUGAACCGAAGGAAGAUCUAGCAUAAGCUAAAAUCCAAAACAAAAUGACCUAGAUGGAACCAAAGUUUGACUUUACAACAAUUUUGAAAUUUCAAAACUUUAAAAGUUCACCAUUUGAAGCAUUCAAAAAUUUCAUAAUAAAAAUUCACAAUAAAAGUUGAAACUCAAAGAUUUACAAUUUAAGUUAAAAAAAAUCACAAAUUUGAAAUUCAAAGGUUUGCAUUUCAAAGAUUCGCAGGAUUCAAAAAUUUGUAAAAAUUUCAUAUUAGCAAGAAUUGAAAAUUUGUAAGAUUUUCAGAUUUGCAAAAAUUUUGAAUUUGCAAGAUUUCAAAUUCGUAAGAAUUGGAUAUUUGUAAGAUUUAAAUUGCAAUUUUUAAAAAUUAAAGAUUCAUAAGAUUUUAAAAAUUCACUAGAAUUAAGAUUUGCAAGAAUUGAAAAUUUGUAAGAACUUAGAUUCACAAGAAAUGAAGAUUUGCAAGAUUUUUCGGUUUACAAGAUUUAAAGAUUCACAAAAUUCAAAUAUUUACAUUUGAAAAACUUCUAGAGAUUCAUAACCAAAACUUCAAAGAUUUUCAUUUUAAAAAUUUUAGUGUUUCACAUUCAACAUUUCAAGGAUUCUAAUUCAAAAACUUUAGGGAUUCACAUAAAAAAAAUUUCAUUUAAAAAUUCUUAGAGAUUAUGCUCGGAGGUUUUACAAAUCAUCCUCAACAUUGAAAAUGCUUCUUCAAAAGGUUUCAUAACUUUAACAUUUGAGAUGUUUUCCUUGUCAAAAAUCUAAUCAUGAAAAAUUUUCCUUAUUUGAGGUUUCAAAAGUUCAAAAUUCUCCUACCAAAGUCAAAAUUUGUAUGAUAAUGAUGCAAAUGCAAUAACCCAGAUUCUUACAACAAUAUAGAUGCCAUACUUUAAAUCAUGAUUCAAAUGUUCACUACAUGAUGCGAAUGCAAUCAUCAAAACAAAUAUUCGAAUAUUCACCAAAUCAUGUACAUUCAUUAUUCAAACAACAAUGUAAUGCAAAUGUCACUAAAAUUAAUACCAUGAAAUUCUAAUUGAUUGUGGUAAUAAGGUUCUCAAGAUUCUACCAUCUCAGAUUCUUUUUUAACUUUCCAGUAGUACCAUUUUCAGAAUCAAUUCACAAAUUUCGUUAAUAGAUCCAUAUUAUUUCUAGCAUUUAGUCACAACUCACAUAUUAUAUUAGUUUAUCCAUCACCAUAUUCACCAUUUGGGUACCACAUUUGCCUUUUCAAAUUAACUUCUCAACCUUCUUUCAUCUUUUUCAUUUUCUUUUUGCCCCUGUUAUCUUGGAUUUCUUUUCAAAUGAAUGUAUGAAUCUUUUAUGGACAUUAUCAUUCAUUUAUUAUUAUUUUAAUUCAUGAAAAAUAUAAUGCAAUCAUAUAUUUUCUCAAUUUAUUCUGGAGAAGCCAAAAUGAGUGAGGGUAAAGUGAAUUGAGAGAAAAAAAAAUCAAUACAAGAACAAGUCUGGUACAAAAAUAAAUAGAUUAAGGAACAAAUUCAAAGCAUGUCACUACGGUAAGUGUUUGAAUGAAUAUUCAAAUAAUUUUUAAUAUAAUCUAGGAUUCUUUUUUAAAAACUCAUUCCAUUGACUUUCAAAAUCAUUUUGAGCUCUCAACACUCCCAGUUUCAGAGAAUCUUCAGAUGACAUUGACCUUUCAUAUAUUGAACCAUCCUUCUAGUUUUCAACUUAGAUUUUUUUACCUAAAUCGCCUUUUCGAAUUUUCAAUUUGAGUCUUCAUUUUCUCUCUUUUUAAUUUUUUUCAUUUUUAAUUUUUCAUUUUCAUUUUUUUUUUUUUUUUCACUUUAUCCAUUAUUAGUAUCCCCAAACAUCAAUCUCUAAAACAUAAGAAUAUAGCACAAUGCCAUUGUUCUAUCACAAGCAUGCCUUAGUCUAACAUAUGAUCAUUCAAUUCAAGCAUUCACAUUCGAUUAAAAUGAACUUUUAACGGUUGUAAUGUAGGUUACGGUAAGGGGUCAUGAAAGAAAUGAAUAAAAUAUGCUCAAGACAGAUGUUUAAAGGGUUCAAACCAAAAGAUCAUUUCCCAUCAUGUGAUGCAACUUGACAUUUUAUCCCAUUCCACAUCAUUUCACUACCUUUUCUUUUUUCAUUUAUCUUAUUCCUCACAAAAGAAUUCUCACUAUUUUGCCCUAAAUCAUUUGUGGCAUUCAUUUUUUUUUGUUGUUUUUUUAUAAGGGGUUCUUUUUUCUUUUCACUCCCUAUCUUUGAGAUCUUUUGUAAUCUAUUAUUUUUUUCCUUUCUAAGUAGGUUUUUUUUCAAAAUUUGCCCCUUGAUAUGGAAGAUGAUCCUUGGUUGGGGCUUUUUAGAAAAAAAAUCAUAAGAGGCUCAAAAGGGGUAGUAAUGGAUGAUUUCAUUUUUAUAAAUCGUAAAAGAAAUAUGGUCAUUUUUCAUCUCAAAUGUGAAUGCCUUCUUUGAAAAUCAUAUUUUGAACAAAGACAAACUGAUUAGAUGCCUCCAAGAUAUGUCUAUUUUUCAUGAAUGAUAUUCGCUCACAGAUUACUUUUUUUUUGCUCAAAUAAUCUUCACAGAUCAAUAUGAAUGAGUUUUCAAAAUUAAAUCUCAAAAUUAUUAUUUAUAAUUGUCCAAACAUUCACCAUUUGGAAUUUAAGAAUGAGAAUAAAAUGGAUAUGAAAAGUAAAAAAAAAUAAUGAUUUGGAUGAAAGAAAAAAUGUAAUGAAAUGCAUCAACUAGCCUUUUAUUAAAAUGAUAAAAAGUGAAAUCUUAUUACAUAAAAGAAAUCUUAGCAUUGCUCUAAAAGAAAUCCAAGCAACUUUCAACCAAUAUCAAUAUCCUUAUUCUUCUUAAAAUUAUGCCUAUGUGUCAUCAGAUAAAGAUUUUCACUGAUAUCUAUCCCUCUAAUUCGUUAAAGCUCACCAAGCAUUUUCGGAUCAAACUUUGUACCUUAUGCUUGAAACAGGACAAGUUUCUAUAGAAUGACCCAUGUUCCCAUUAUGAUAAUCACAUGUGGCAUUAGCAUCAUACCAUUGGGGAGAUGGUGGCUUUAAUGGUUUUAGAAUAAUUGGAGAUACUAUGUUAUUUUUAACCAAUUUUGAGAAUAACUCAAUGUAAGUCAUAGGGAUAGAAUCAAUGUGGACCCUUUCUAGGUUGUUUCAAGAUCUCCUCAAAUUACCCGUUUGGUUGUUAAGCAUUAAAGCUAGUGUAGUAAUAAGAUUGGGCCUAUAUAUAGGUAUUUUGGUCGGUAAGCUGGUUAUGAAAUAGGAUGGUAAGAAAUUGGUGCAACAUGAUUAAUAGCUAUGUAAUAGGCAAGAUAUACUGGUUGUGGGUAUAGAGCAUAACUUCUGAAUUGCUGUCCUUCAAAACUCAUAGCUUGAACUUCAUUUUUAUUUUUUUGGACAUCCUACCUUUCUUUGUACUGGACUUGCUACUCUUAAUGGCAUGCUCUAUCAUUUCCCUGAAGAUCACCAUAGAGGUAAAAUAUUUUGUGGCAUUCCCAAAGAUUUUCUUAUAAUAUGGAGGCUUCAAAAGUACUCAUAAAUAAAAUUACUAUUUCCUUUCCAAUAAGAAUUGGUUGAACUUGAGCAGCUAUAUCUCUCCACUUUUGAGCAUACUCUUUGAAGCUUUCAAAAAGUUUUUUUUUCAUGCUUUAUAGAGAUAGACAAUCUGAAGCUAAGUCUAUAAUGUAUCAGUAUUAGGCAAUGAAUGCUUUUGCCAAAUCAUUUCAGGAAUGGAUACGGUCUCAGUUUAACUGAAUAUAGCACCUCGUGGCUGAGUCAGUAAGACUAUCUUAAAACACAUGCAUUAAGUAAUUUCUUAUCAUAAGCAUGGGCUAUCAUUUUACGAUAGUACAUGGUAAUAUGAGUUAUAAGAUAUUUUCUCCUAUCAUAUUUUUCAAAUUCAAAAACUUUAAAUUUUAAUAAAAUGAUCAUAUUUGAGACUAAAUAGAGUUAAGCUGCAUCUAUAGAGCCAAAAUAAUCUAUUCUUUCGAUAACUUGCACUCUCUCCUUUAAAAGGUUUAUUUGCUGCGUGCAUAAAUCAUCCACCAUCUUAGAAUUCUUUAUGUUCAAUCUUUCUUUCUCUUUAAGAUUAUCAAAAUUAAGAAUCUUAAUUAGAUCAUACGACUUUGCCCCAAAGGUAGGGUUAGUGUAGUUAUGAAAUGGCACUUUAGGAUAUGCCAUAAAAAAUGGCAUCUGUGGGCUUGUGUAUUUUGAAGAGGGCUUUGAGUUAGGCCAAAGACGAAAAGAGUGUAAAAGAUCCACAAUAUCAUGUUUCUCAUUUGAAUUUGAGGUCUUUUUACUAUUUUACCUUUAUCUAAUUUCUCUAGCAUUUCCAUCAUUUUUGCUAAUUCCUCUUUUAUUUCUUCUUAAGCUUUCUCGAUGUUAUCCAUAUGGCUAUUUUGCUCCUGUUCCAUUUGCUUUGUUUGCAAUCGAGUAUUGUAUGGAUUAUGGGUAAGUUGGAUAAGAGUCUUUGAUGGUCAAGCUAUCCUUAAACCUUUGAUUACCAUAAAUUAAGAUGGUUGUAUUACUACAUGCUUAUGUCAUGAAAGAAGGACUAUAAUCUUAAUAUGCAACCACUAAGAUUUCAAGUUAACAUAUGCAAAAUGAAUGUAAAAAAUAUAUGCAACCUAAUGUUAUUUUACUUUAAACGAAAGAAAAAUAGAUGAAAGAAAAAAAAUUCAACUAACAUGCAUUUUUACAUGAUUUCAUGCAACAUGACAUGUACAAAAGUUAAUUUCCACACAAGAAAAAUUAAUCAUUGCAAAAAUGUAACUUAACUGUUGGUUUUUUUCUACAAAAGGGGAAGGUGAAGCUCUAACUACAUGUUAGGUUUCUUAUGGUCACUAUAUGUGGUUUAAGAUUGAUAAUCUAAAGGUUCUCAAAUUAUUUCUCAUAUCCUUGUUCGUAAUAGACUAGUGAGGUACCCCGAUCCUUACCCAUUAGAGGUUACAAGCAGAAAUGGUUCAAUUUGAAUGAGAGUAUUUCACUAGCCACUACGAAAGUAUUAAAACCUCAUGAAAGCAUAGGUAUUUUACUCCCUCUUAAAGGGGCAAAAGUUGAGUAUAAAGCUCAAUAAACAAAGUAAAUAAAUAAAUAAACAAAAAUCUUUUUUAAAAAAUCAAUUUUAUUAGGCUUUUAGAUAACAUAAAUUUAUUUGCUAGCCUGACUUUUGGCAUAUCCUCAACGGAGUCGUUAAACUAUUAUAAUGUCUAGAUCCGUGGACCUAUCGCUAGACAUUGACUUAAAGAGUCACCAUCAGUCUUUUUUAUUUAAGUGCGAUUGACCACCUAACUGAAUAUGUCUUUUUUUAAAAAGAAAUCUUAAGUUUGACUUAGGUAUCCUUAAAAGAUAGAUUUAAUAUUUACGAAAUCAGAACUAGGUUCGAGAGUAUGAUUAUGUAUAAGAAAGCUUAUAGCACUUGCAUAACGCUCAUCGAAAGAUGAUACUAGCUUGAUUUCAUAUUAUCCAUUAAGUCUUAAAAAUUUUACCAAGUAAGUAAUUAUUAAAAUUAUUCAUAAUUGACUCAAUACUUUUAGCAAAAAAUUAAAAAAAUUUUCUCACCUCAAGAGUAUAUAAAAAAAUUACUAUUUCUUUUGCAAAGGCUUUGUUCUCAGAUUAUUUAACAUCAAAAAAUUUUCAAGAAAGAAAAGAAAAAAAAGAAUAAUGCUUCAACCUUUGAUAGGGAUCUCUUUCAUUAUUUUGUUUUAUUUUAUUUAAAAAAGUCAUGCCUUUAUACAAGGAGAAUUGAUACUUUCAACCUUUUCUUUAAGCAUUUUGAAAUUAUUAUUUUAAGAAAAAUUGAUACUUUUAAUUUUUCCUCAAAAAUGCUUUUUUAAAAUUUUUAUUUUCAAGAAAAAUUAAUACUUUAAACUUUUUCUUAAAAAUAUUUUUUUAAAAAAUUUUAUUUUCAAGGAAAGUUGAUACUUUCAACUUUUCCUCAAAAAUAUUUUUUUGAUAUUUAAAUUUGAAAGAAAAAUUGAUUCUUUCAAUUUUCUUCAAAAAUAUCUUUUUUGAAAUUUUUAUUUUCAAGAAAAAUUGAUACUUUUAAUUUUUUCUCAAAAUCAUUUUUUUGAAAAUUUUAUUUUAAAAAAAAUUGAUAUUUUCAACUUUUCCUUAAAAAUAACUUUUUUUGAAAUUUUUAUUUUUAAGAAAAAUUGAUACUUUCAAUUUUUCAUUAAAAAUGUUUCUUGUGAAAUAUAUAUAUAUUUUUAAAAAAUUAUUUUCUAAGAAAAAUUGAUACUUUCAACUUUUCUUUAAAACCCUUUUUUUUUAUUAUUGAAGUUUUUUUUUUUAAGAAAAAUUGAUACUUCCACUUUUCCCUAAAAAUUUUUUUAAAAAUUUUUAUUUUUAAGAAAAAUUGAUUCUUUAACUUUUUUUUGAAAAUUUGAAAUUAUUUUUAAUUUCUAUUAUUAUUUUUUAGAACAAAGAUUUACCAAAAAAAUAAUUAAGCUAAUAAACAAAAUAACACAAGAAAAUACUAAACAAGUCUAGGCUCAGCUUUAUUCAAAAAAGCUUGGCUACAAGAGUGAAUUAGGCUCGGUGGCUCUUUUUCUGCUUUUUCUUUCAACCUCAAAAUUCUAGUCAAGAAUCUUGCACCUUAAAAUUUUCAAUCAAGAAUCCUACACCUGAAACCUUUCUCUUUGAUCGUCAUCACUUUACUAAUGUAAGUUACAAUAAAAUCCUGUACUUGAAACCCUACUCUAUGAUCCUAUUAUUCUGCUGACAUGAGUCACAACCACUAUUGCCUUCCUUACUGUUGCUUAUUAUGACUGAUAUUAGAUUAAUGGUGAGUUGUCUAUUGGGUUUUAGGUAUUUCAUAGGUGAUUGGUUUUUGGUAAUAGAUAUUUGGGCUAUCGGUCAUGCCAAUUUCAAUGGUAGUAGGAUUAGGCAAUUUGGUGGGUUGUAGGAUUAAGUAAUUUGGUGGUAAUGGAUUUUUGGCUAGUGGCUUUCUUUCUCCCUAUGUUUUUUGCUAAAUUCUUUCCUGUGAUUUUCUCUUUGCUUGAAUGUGUUGUGUUAAUUAUGGGAGAAGGUGGGUUAUGGACUGGGGCUAUUAAAGGUUGUGUUAGGAAUAACAACCAUUCAUGGUGAGAGGCUUAGUGGCCGUGGCUAGAGGAUGAACUUUGUAUUUUUCACUCUGAUUCUUCUGGGUUUUACUCUGUAUUGUCACUUUAUGUCUUUCGCUCUAUCGAACCAGGAUUUAAAUAAUAUGAUGAAGAUAGGAUUUCAAUUCAAAAAAACUGAGCAUCUUAUCCCUUAUGAUAUGAAUUUUGAGUUUAAAAAAAGGAUAUCGAAAUUUUAAAAAUUUAACCUAAUACUUCAAAUUUCAAACACAAAAUCUUAUCACUUGAUUUAUCCAUUUUUUUUCCUUUUACUCAUUUUCAAAAUAAUGAUAAAAAUAAAUAAAUAAAAUAAUAAAACAAAUUAAUUAGGUCCAAUGCCCAAUAAUCGGGGACGAAAUAAGGUGUCUACAUUAACCAAUCAAGAAGAUUUAACAAAAAAAAUAGAAUAGUUUAAAAUGUCAAAAUUUUAAUUAUAUAGUAAAAUAAAAGUUCAUAUUAUUAGUUUAAUCUAAUAAAAAAUUAAGUGUUUAUUUGCAUAAAAUUUAGAGUUUAUUUGAAUAUUGUUCUUUUUUAUAGUUAACGUUAUGAAACAAAGUCUACCCAAUAAAAAAUCUCAAUCAUGGCCAUGGCCCAUGGGUUUUUAAAACCUUUAAAGGUCCAUUUGUGAGUAACUUAAUUCUAAGUCCAAGAUAACCUUAAUAUAAAAAUGUUUAUCUCAAAAUAUCAAACUCUUUGUUGAAAAACACCAUAGUAUAUUACACGGUCAUAAAAUGCCCUCAUCCUAAAUUAUAAAAUUGGAUUUAUUGUUAAUUUAUUUUGAAGUUAGGGGAGGCCUCGAAAAUUUUGAACAAAUAUCUACAAUUAUUAUUUUAAAAAUUGCUAUUAUUACUUUGAUAAAAUUAUGUUCUACUGAUCAUGGCACGGUUCAGUUUCUAAAAAUUUCGACUCUAUCAGGUGGAGUGGGCCAGGGCCUAGGUGUAAUGCAAUGCUUGGGCCACGCUUUGAGCCCGAAUAGCAAGUUUUUGUGGGCUCUCCCAUUAAAGUAUUAAUAAUUUACAAAUGGUAAUAACUAAUUUGUAAUUGUUUAAAAUUGGAUAAGUAAAAUAGAAUUUCUCUAAAUGUAUUUUAUCUUUCUUAUAAUAUCUAUAUUUUAGGUAAAGAUUUUUAAUGCCACAUGCCAUGGCAUAUGAAUUGGUAAUGUUAUGUGGAGAAUGCAAUCACCUAUGAAAGUCACACCAGCUAACCUUAACCUCUAAAGGAAGGCUGAGUGAUCAAAAAUUGAAAUUUUACAAAUAUUGGUAAACAAAUCAUAAUUUUUUAUAAUAUAAUUUGUAUGUAAAUGGUUGUAUACUCUUAUAUGUAUUUAGCCUCCACUUAAUUGAAAUCUUGGCUCCGCCACUAUAUUUAAGAGUAAUAUUUUCUUUUAAUAUUGCAUGUCAAAUUUUAUUACUCCAUUAAUAGAGAAUAUUGUUAUGGAUAUCCUUUUUUGUUUUUUUGUGCAAUAUUAUGGAUAUCCUUUGCUUAGGAAUAUCCUUGCUAUAUUUUAUUACAAUUUCAAUUUUUUUAGGGAAUAUCCUUUGCUUUGUUCCGAUACCCCUUACCUAAUGAAAGCGGCAAGCUUAAUUUUUCAAAAUAGUUAAGCAACUAUAUAUAUGUAAUGAUAAAAGUUGUUUCGGCAGCGCACUUCAUGCUUGAUAUUUCCGUUGUCUAAAUUACAUAUGUUAUUUCUUCCUCCUUACAACUAGCAAGCCAUUAGGAUAGGAAGAAUAACACGACGUACGCUUCUUUGGAUGAACCAUCCUGAUCAAAGGAUAAUCACAACAGAAAGGCAGGAGUAUUUCUCUCUCUGUUUCGAAUUCUUUCCUAAAAGCAAUUUUUCUUAUUUUCUUGUCUAGUUUUGGAAAAUGAAGUUUCUUGAGCCUGCCUGAUUAGGUUUCCAUCCUUUGGUUGAACCAUCCUGAUCUAUGAAUCCACACCUGCUUUUUCCUUUUCCUUUUUUUUUUUAAUUUUUAAUUUUUUAUUGGUUGUUAGCAUAUAUAAUUCAUGUCUUGGUUGGCUAGUUUCUUUUGGUAAGUGGGAUCAUAGAGCACUAUGUACAUCCCUCAGAAAGUUUAUGCCAUCUUUGGUUUUGAACGAGAGAAUUAACCCUUUUAGACAAUUCUUUUCAGCUUUGUUUGAAUGUUAAAAUUGAAUAACUGGCUUAGAAUUUCUAGAUAUAUAAGUGACUUUUGAGAAAUAGUAUAUUUGAAACAUAUCUCUUACGUGGUUGGGGACAGCCCAUUUUAGUGUUUAAUCUUCAGCAUCAAUGUGAGAAGCUAUGGAGAUAUAUAGACCUUGUAAGAAAGUGGAAGUCAUCCUUUCCACUCCAAGAAAAUAUUCAUAAAUUUCGAAGUCCUAAAAAUUAUACAAAUAUACAUAAUUCAACCCUAACCAAAAAAAAAAAAAAAUCCCACUACCACCGUUGAACCCACCAACCAAAAUCAAGCCCAAAUUGGAGUUGGACUGAGAAAGAGGUUUCGAUGGUGAGAGGAGAAGAAAGGGAGAGAAAGGGGACCGAGAGAAAGAAAAGAGAGGGAUGAAACGAAGAGGUAGGUGGGGGAAGAAGAAAAGAUAAGAAAUGGUAGGUCAAACCAAAACAACUUAAACCACUAAAAUUGUUAAUUCAAAAUUGAUAAAUAAAUUUGAUUAUAUAUUUUUGAAUUAAUUAUCAAAUAACAUUAUUAUUAUUAUUAUUAUUACAGUUGGUUUUGUUAUUUUUUUAAAUAUAAUAACGUCUAAUAUAUUUUAUCAUUGUUGGUCUCAAUCUGGCAAAGCCAUGGAUGCCCUUGUGGCUGAAAUUUUAACACCAUAUAGACUUUUUGUGAACUUUCUGAUUGUCAUGGCAUAAACCAAGAAUUGUUUUCCUUUAUUUUUGCAUACAGAUGAUUGUUACCUUAUCUGUUUUAAAUUGUGUUGAUAUGAUGUUUUAGUAUAAUUUUUUUUUCAUCUUUUACAAUUUCAAAGUAGAAUCGUUCGAUUUUGAUGGCUUUCGCAAGUGUUCACUCGAUAAACCAAAAUUAUUCGUCUACAUAUGUGAGAUAAUAGUUUUUUUUUUUUUUUGGCAGUAGACCAAUAAUUGAGUUGCUUCCAUUUUCUUACAUACUCUUUUCUCGUUUUCUAUAUCAAAGUCAUCGGUGCUACAGUUGUUUUUUCUGUUUAAAAUUUACGUCUAGAUGAUGUUUAUUAAUAUAUUAAUUGUUUCAUCUUUUAUAAUUUCAAUAAUGAUCGCACAAGCAAUCGUUUGAUUUUGGUGAUUUUUGUGAAUUUUCACUCGAUAACCAAAAUUAUUUGUCUUGAUGCGAUGAUGUUAGUUUUUCUUUUUUGCAAUAAACCAAGUAUUGUUUUGCCCCAAUUUUCUUUCUAACUCUAUUUUUUUUUUAUACGUCAAAGUCAUCGAGCUGCAUAUGAUUGUUACCCUUUUUAUUUUAAUAUUCUGUGGAGGUAAUGGUUAUUUAAUUUUUUAAUCUUUUAAAAUUUCAAUAUUGAUCUUGGGAGGAAUCGUUCGAUUUUGUUAAACUUCCGUGAAUAUUCAUCGGUAGACCAAAAUUAUUUGUCCAAAUGCGAUGAUGUUGUAUUUUUGUUAUCCUCAAUCUCACCUGUUAAUUCCGCACAAUUUCGACAGACUUUCGUAAGUACUGUUACCGUAAACCAAUAGUGGAAAGUGCAUAUCUAGUUUUCAUAUAUUUCUAUGUUUCCUUAGUUUUAAUGUGAUCAUGUCAUAUUAAUUAAAAAAAAGAAUUUCAAAAGAAUUUAAGAAAAAAAAAACUUUUUCCACACAACUUACGUGAAUAUAUCACCUUAUCAAAGUACAAUGACAAAUUUAAAACUUAACCUAAUUGAUUCAUUAAUCUUUUUUAAGAAACGAUAAUAAAUUCAAAAUUUUAAUUUUAAUUUAUGUAAUUUUCUUAUAUACACGUACGACUUUUUUUGUAUUGGAAAAGAAAGUAUAGUGACAAUGUAGAAUGUCACUUGAAAGGGUUAAUUACUUUUAUCAUUGAGUGGCUAAAAAGAUUUAUUGAUCAUGAAAUAUUUUUAUAAAAAGAACAAAUCUGGAAAAUUUAAGUGAAAACAGGGUAAUUUACUCUAAAACAGACAAGACAAUUUACUCUAAAAAAGAAGGGGAAUAGAGCCCAUUUUUGAAAUUUUCAAUUAAAUUUUAUUUUUCUACUUUUGGCCUACCCACUUUAUUACAAUAUUUGUAACUCUCUUUUGCAAUAUGAUGAUGAUUUUUUUAAUAUUAAUUGUUUAAGAAUUUACAUUUUACUAUUUUUAAAAAUUUAUAUUUGAUAAUAUCUACAUUAUUAUUAAUAUUAUCAAUGAAUAAAGGGGUUGGCAAUUCUGAGUGUUCAUAGAUCACAUGAACCACAAUUUGUCACCUCAUCAUUCGAAGUAUUUUUAAAAUGUUUAUUAUUUUAUGAUUCAUGAUUUACUUAAAUGUAUAUAUUUAUAUCCUAAAAAUGUAUUAAAUAUUAAUUCACUUUUAAAAUAUGACUUUCAUCAUGAAAAAAUGUUGUUAAUGAAAUGUUUAUAAUUAUUUAAGGGUUUAAUAAGAGUAGCUUCUCCGCUUACUGCAAAUUCAUUUUAAUAGAAGUUCAUUAUAAAAUAUAGAUCAUACAUUGUUUGAUCAAGCCAUUGCCAAGUUUAGGUGAAGCCAUUUUCAAUCAAAAAUUGUUUGAUUUGGACUUGACUCUAAAUUUAAACUUAGGUCGAGUUUCAGUCGUUUACAUAACUAACUCAAGUUAAGCCAAUCCAAUUAAAGUCGAGCACUAGCAACUUGCUAAAAUUUUUUGCUUACUUUUCUCAUCUUUCUAUACAUUGUAAGUCUUCAAAGUUUUACUUAUUUUAUUUACAUUCAAACUUCUUUUACUUGUUACUAUUAAAUAGCUAUUAGAAAUAAUUGAAAAUAUUCUAAUUUCAAAAAGAUAGUUAUUUACAUAAGCAAUGCAUUUUCCAUUUAUUCAAAAUAAAAAAAAAAGCAGAAGGAUUAAUUAAAUUGUUAGCAUUGAUGAGAUUUGAGAUUUAAAUAAAAUAACCGAAAGUAAAUGAGCUUUUGAUUCAACGAUUAGUGCAUGCAUUUCACUACUAAUUCAUUAGUCGGGUUUAAAAAAAAAAAAUUUCUCUUUAUUUCAGAAAAGGUUUUUUUGACACUAUUUAAAUCUUCAUUAUCAAAAUUUUUUAAAUUCAACCUCAUUUUAGUUUCAAUUUAGUACCAAUUAAAAUGCAAAAAAAAAAAAAAAAAUGGAAACUUUUAAUGAAGUAAUUUAUAUAUAAAAUUUUAAUUCACUAAAAACAUUUAAAGUAAUUUUAAAUCAAACUUGAAAAUAGUUAACCAUUAAAAAUUAACCAAUGAAAACUUUUAUGCAAUGGAAGGAGUGAAAAAAGAAACAAUCGGAAGUCCCAAGGAUGGGAAUAAAUUAAACAUCAUUUCAAAGGCUAAGGUAAAUGAACCUUGGAAGCCCACGCGAUCUGACUCUAUAUAUACAUGAACUCGAGCCCAAAAACGCGGCAACAACAAAACAAGCUCUAGGAAUGAAUAUUGGUCCACCAAACAUGCAAGCAGCAUGCUAUUAGGAAGACGAGGCAAUCUGCACCGGUAAUUAUUGCAAAAAUCAAAAGGUAUUAUUGUUUCAUCCUUCUAAUAAUAUU
rnacentral:lncRNA from 1 species